rnacentral:rRNA from 1 species
UACGAGGGGGGCAAGCGUUGUUCGGAAUUAUUGGGCGUAAAGGGUGCGUAGGCGGUUUGGUAAGUCUUAUGUGAAAUCUACAGGCUCAACUUGUAGUCUGCAUGAGAAACUGCCGGGCUUGAGUAUGGGAGAGGUGAGUGGAAUUCCUGGUGUAGCGGUGAAAUGCGUAGAUAUCAGGAGGAACACCUGUGGCGAAGGCGGGUCACUGGGCCAUAACUGACGCUGAUGCACGAAAGCUAGGGGAGCAAACAGG